GACGAACGCUGGCGGCGUGCCUAAUACAUGCAAGUCGAACGCAGUGGGGACGGGUGAGUAACACGUGGGUAACCUCCCAUCAGAGGGGAUAACACUUGGAAACAGGUGCUAAACCGAUACUGAUGGAUGAACCCGCGGUGCAUUAGCUAGUUGGUGAGGGAACGGCUCACAAAGGCCACGAUGCAUAGCAGACCUGGAGUGGUGAUCGGCCAACCUGGGGCGGAGACACGGCCCAUACUCCUACGGGAGGCAGCAUUAGGGAAUCUUCGGCAAUGGACGAAAGUCUGACCGAGCAACGCCGCGUGAGUGAAGAAGGUUUUCGGAUCGUAAAACUCUGUUGUUGGAGAAGCGGUAUCUAACCAGAAAGCCACGGCUAACUACGUGCCAGCAGCCGCGGUAAUUC
rnacentral:rRNA from 1 species